rnacentral:rRNA from 1 species
CAUUUGAAUCGCAUGGUUUGAAUGUCAAAGAUUUAUCGCUGGAAGAUGGCCUCGCGUCUGAUUAGCUAGUUGGCAGGGUAACGGCCUACCAAGGCGACGAUCAGUAGCCGGACUGAGAGGUUGACCGGCCACAUUGGGACUGAGAUACGGCCCAGACUCCUACGGAAGGCAGCAG